rnacentral:rRNA from 1 species
GGAUAAACAAUGCAUAAACAACAAUAAUAAAAAAGAGAAGAAAAAAGGGAAGCCACGAAGCAGUCAACAGGAGUCAACCCCCAUUUCCUUUCCGUCCCCCUCUACGCGCCGCGCCGCCAUGGAUCCCGCCGCCGACGACGGCCGCUCACCUUCACCCGUCCCGGACCCAGACGACGGCGAAGGCGGCAGCGGGUGGGGGAGCGACAAGCCGCCGCCCACGCGCGCGGAGGAGGGGCGCGUCGUCGGGAAGGCCGCCAUGGAACCCUCGCCGUCGCCGCCGGACUCCACCGUCUCCGACCAAGACGACGACGACCUGACGCGCGCCGUGUCCCUGCUGUCGCUCGCGGAGGCCGGGAAGGCCGGGUCCGCCCCCCGCGCCGUGGAUCCGUCGCCGCCGUCCUCCGCCGUCUCCUCCCACGGUCACAAAGAUGAUGAUGAUCUCGCCGGCGUGAACAAGCGGACGCACGCGAGGUUCCUCGUCACCCACGCCCAGGCCGGGCUCAUCAUCGGGAUGGGUGGCUCCACUGUCGCCGCUGUCGAGGCCCGCUCCGGCGCCCGGGUCAAGCUCUCCCGCCACGACCAGCUCCUCCCCGGCACCGACCGCAGGGUCGUGCUCGUCCAUGGCCUCCUCAGCCAGGUCAUGGACGCCAUGGAGCUACUGCUCCAAAGGCUCUUGCUCUACCAGGUUCAGGGUGACCAGGCGGUCGACUCUGAGCCCACGCUAGUGCUCGUCGUGCCUCAGCCCUGCUGCGGCGUGCUCAUCGGCAAAGGAGGAUCUGUUAUCAAGUCAUUCACUGAAGCUUCGGAAACUGCAAUUCAGAUCUCACCACACAACAUCUCCUAUGGCUUCAACGACAGGCUGGUCACCAUCACAGGGCCCUUGGAUAAUCUAUUGCGAGCAGUGUUUCUGAUAAUAUUUGAGCUGUUAGAGGACAUUCGUUAUUUGUUUCCAUGUGCAGCUGCUACGCCAAACAUUCCAAUGAGAUCACCUGUUAAUAAGGAUGCCCAAGAAUCUGUCACUAUUGCUGUUGCUGAUGAGCAUAUGGGUUCUGUUAUUGGUCGUGGUGGAAGGAUUGUCAAUGAGAUCAGCAAGGUUAGUGGAGCAUGGAUUGACAUCUCAGGCAAGGGGGAGUUCAUGCCCGGGACUCGCGACAGGGAGGUGAUUAUGAGGGGAACAUCAGAGGCGAUCCGCGCAGCCGAGGCGAUGAUCAUGCACCGUGUCUCCGUGGCCAGCGGCAACUUGAUGGGGCGGAGGGUGGAGGGAACAAGCGUCAAGGGUCUGCUUACCAGGCUGGACGAGGAGGAGGAGGAUGAUGAUGCAGUCGUGCAGAUGCAUCGGCUGAAGUUGAGUGAUCGGACAGAGUAGAUAGUCACGGACGGACAGCACAGGAAGGAAUCGAACCAUUUUUAGAGUUUUGCGUCUCUCUCUGGUAGAGAUAGAUAAUCAAAUCAAUCGCUAGUAAAAAGGAUUAGUCAGGUAAAUGGAUGAUGGGAUCACUGAUGAUGAUUCACCAAUUUUCCUGUUAGCAUUGGGAUUUUGCAUGUUUUGCCUGUUCAAUGAUACUAGAAUAUUAUCUCCCCUGCUGAAUGUUGCCUUGCCCUCCU